AGUCGAGCGGUAACAGGUGUAGCAAUACAUGCUGACGAGCGGCGGACGGGUGAGUAACGCUUGGGAAUCUGCCUGUUAGUGGGGGACAACCCGGGGAAACUCGGGCUAAUACCGCAUACGCACUAUGGUGGAAAGCCGGGGACCGCAAGGCCUGGCGCUAACAGAUGAGCCCAAGUCGGAUUAGCUAGUUGGUAGGGUAACGGCCUACCAAGGCGACGAUCCGUAACUGGUCUGAGAGGACGACCAGUCACACCGGAACUGAGACACGGUCCGGACUCCUACGGGAGGCAGCAGUGGGGAAUAUUGGACAAUGGGGGCAACCCUGAUCCAGCGACGCCGCGUGGGUGAAGAAGGCCUGCGGGUUGUAAAGCCCUUUCGGUUGGGAAGAAAAGUUGCGGUCUAACACACUGCGACCUUGACGUAACCAACUAAAGAAGCACCGGCUAACUCUGUGCCAGCAGCCGCGGUAAUACAGAGGGUGCGAGCGUUAAUCGGAAUUACUGGGCGUAAAGCGCGCGUAGGCGGCUUUUCAAGUCGAUUGUGAAAUCCCCGGGCUCAACCUGGGAACUGCAGUCGAGACUGUCUAGCUAGAGUAUGGGAGAGGGAGGUGGAAUUUCAGGUGUAGCGGUGAAAUGCGUAGAUAUCUGAAGGAACAUCAGUGGCGAAAGCGACUUCCUGGACCAAUACUGACGCUCAUGUGCGAAAGCGUGGGGAGCAAACAGGAUUAGAUACCCUGGUAGUCCACGCCAUAAACGAUGAGAACUGGAUGUCGGAGGGGUCUGCCCUUCGGUGUCGUAGCUAACGCGUUAAGU
rnacentral:rRNA from 1 species